UGGGGAAUAUUGGACAAUGGGCGCAAGCCUGAUCCAGCCAUGCCGCGUGGAUGAUGAAGGCCUUAGGGUUGUAAAAUCCUUUCGCCGAGGACGAUAAUGACGGUACCCCAAGAAGAAGCUCCGGCUAACUUCGUGCCAGCAGCCGCGGUAAUACGAAGGGGGCUAGCGUUGUUCGGAUUUACUGGGCGUAAAGCGCGUGUAGGCGGGCUGGAAAGUUGGGGGUGAAAUCCCGAGGCUCAACCUCGGAACUGCCUCCAAAACUUCCAGCCUGGACUCAAGUAGAGGCAAGUGGAAUUGCGAGUGUAGAGGUGAAAUUCGUAGAUAUUCGCAGGAACACCAGUGGCGAAGGCGACUUGCUGGACUUGUAGUGACGCUGAGACGCGAAAGCGUGGGGAGCAAACAGGAUUAGAUACCCAAGUAGUCCCUGAGCGGGCUGGCAAGGCGCAU
rnacentral:rRNA from 1 species